AUUCGACAGGCUAUUACGAGCAUUAGCUGCAUUCCGCCGUCCGGGCGUUAAGCGGGCAGAAAUUUAACUGCAAAAAACAAUAACUCUUACGCUGUCGCUGCCUAAAAACCAGUGACUCGUGGGCAUGCUUGCUAGGCUAACAUGGUGAGUCUGCUUUUAUAAAUGGUUAGCUCGAUUCAAUGACGAUGCCUGCGCGGUUGAAUUUAAAACCAAUUAGGUCCCGGCCAAAGUCAAGUUCUGGACAAUGGCUGCUUUGGUUGCGGUAAUAAUGAUUGCCCUAUGAAUGUAGACGCUUAUGUGGCGGAUGGUUUGGACAGGGGUUCGACUCCCCUCAAGUCCAU
rnacentral:tmRNA from 1 species